rnacentral:lncRNA from 1 species
CUCUACCUAGGUUUUUAUUAACCCUAGGUUCAACAACACUAGAAUCAAUGUCAACCUAUGUUCAUGACGCUAGGUUGAUGCCACUCGAUCUAUUUGAUUCUAGGUCUACUCACGACCUAUGUUCUUUAACACUAAGUUAGAUGCCACUCGAUCUAUUUGACACCCUAGUUGUCCAUCGAGUAGUCUAUGGUUUUCACGUUCUUAUUUCCAACGUCAUGUUCUCUACGCAAUCUGGAGUUAUCCACCAAGUUCACAUGCAUAUAUAAUCUCACAAUGCUUUCUUAUUUCCAAUGCCAUGUUCUCUACGCAAUUUGGAAUUAUCAACCAAGUUCACAUGCAUAUAUAAUCUCACAAUGCUAAUCAUGCCCUUUAUAAUCUCACAAUGCUAUUCAUGCAUUUAUAAUCUCACAUAUCAUUUUAUAUGCACCUACUCAGCAUUUGCAUCAUAUUACUAUUAUCAUGCUUUACAUUAGUAUCAUGCAUUACUAGCAUUAUGUAAAUUGCUCACUAUGCAUUUCUACUUAGCACUUACAUUAACAUGCAUAAUUAUCAUGCAUUACACUAUUAUCAAGCAUUAUUUCGCACUUAUAUGCAUCAACAUGAACUCUUAACUUGCUUAGACAUAAAGGCGACCUAGUCGCUUCGGUAAGCACAACCCACCUUAACACGCGUUCCGAUUGCUUGUCGACACUUGCAAUCGGCCUCCCGCGGCACCCGGUGCCCAAUUCGGCCCGAACUCGAAAUUGCUCACCAACUGCGCAUCGCUUUGCAGUUCCGGAUAAAAAGGGUCUUUGUUUUGCUGCUACGGUGCUUCAAAUCCGUUCUGUCACAGCCCGCGACCACUCGCUUAUUUGGCCGAGGUCGCGGCGCCGACAGCGCCGAACGGACAAGGUUUCCCUUGUACUGCGGACAAAGUCUCCCCUGUACGUUCAAGGCAUCGCAAUCAAUACAAUACGAAUGUUCCAACCAGGAACUGAUAUCAAUCAAGAUUGCAUAAUGGAAGGUAUCAAACAACAUAAACACAUCCUAUGUUAUUACACGCAUUCACAUUCACAGAUUUUUACAUCACAGUUCUUUAUACAUUCUCUUUUUUUUUAUCCAAAUGCAAUCUAGUUAUUACAAAUUUAUUUACAAAUUGAUACAUUGUUUUUUUUUCAUUUUCUAUACCCCUAGCCACGUCGACGGGGUACUGCUAGCUCUGGUCUCUGGGUAGGGCGCUAUCUAUGGAGCUACGCCCUUUCCUCGCGCCGCCGCGCCGCUCACGUGCGAACCUGUACCCCCAAAAGCAACACGGGGGUGAGAACUAUAUAAAUAUAGUUCCCAGUGGGUACAGCCACCCAAGGGAAAAGCUCGACCAAAAGGUCCAAGGAGGCACUGCAAUCAUGUUAGUCCAAAAACAUCUAUAGAUAUAUAUCAAAAUGUUAAUAUGCAACUAACAGAUAACAUGCCACCCAAAAUGCUUAUGGGUUUCAGUUAUGUAAAGUUUUAAAUUACAGUGGAUUUCAUGUUUAGUUAGACUUACUAUCACUUGUGUUUGUUGCUUGCCUUCGUGCAAGCCAUGUAUAUUGAAAUGUGAUCCUGGGAAUUGUUUAAUUUCUUUAUACAUGUAUUCGUUGUUGUCGAGCCUUGGGCGAACAGAGGAGGUGCUGUUCGUUCGGCGUCUGUGCGCGGGCCCGGAUCGACCAAAUUGGCGAUAGCGGGACGUGACAGAUAAAGUGGUAUCAGUUUCAGUUAUACAGUUCAGUUUGAAAGUUUUAAAUUAUAGUAAUUUUUUUCAUGUUUAGCUAGCUUUACUAUCACUUGUGAUUGUUGCUUGCCUUCGUGCAAGCCAUGUAUACUGAAAUGUGAUCUUGGGAAUUGUUUAUUUCU